UUUGGUCUUGAGUAGGGCGAGAGUGUCCGCAGCACUUCUCCCUUUCCUGAAACCAAA
rnacentral:miRNA from 1 species